GGGACGAACGCUGGCGGCGUGCUUAACACAUGCAAGUCGAGCGGAAAGGCCCUUCGGGGUACUCGAGCGGCGAACGGGUGAGUAACACGUGAGCAACCUGCCCCUGGCUCUGGGAUAGCCUCCGGAAACGGGGAUUAAUACCGGACAUGACCCUUGACCGCAUGGUUGGGGGUGGAAAGUUUUUCGGCCAGGGUGGGGCUCGCGGCCUAUCAGCUUGUUGGGGGGGUGACGGCCCACCAAGGCGACGACGGGUAGCC
rnacentral:rRNA from 1 species